rnacentral:tRNA from 1 species
UCUAAUAUGGCAGAAUAGUGCAAUAAAUUUAAGCUUUAUAUAUGUAAAUAUUUUAUUUUACUAUUAGAA